GGAUAAUGAAUUUAAUUGUUUAAAAAUCAUAUAAAGGUGAUUUUAAAGUAUUAAAAAUAUUUGAUAUAUUAUAAAUAUAUUAUAAUAUUAUGACAUGUAUUUCAUUAAUAUUUGAUAAUAAAUAAAUAUUAAUGAUAAAGUAAUUAUGUGGUAUUUAAUUUAUUUAAAUACGAUUUUAAUGAUUGAAAAAUCAAGAUAAAUAGUAAUAAUUAUUUAAAAAUUAUUACGAACUUAUGAAAAUUAUUUUGACUGCUUACAAAAUUGUCUAAGAUAUUGUUAAGUGUUUUGCCAGAGUUUAAUUGAACUUAAACUCGUCAAUUAUCCGACUAGACCGUCAGG
rnacentral:lncRNA from 1 species